UACGAAGGGGCUAGCGUUGUUCGGAAUUACUGGGCGUAAAGGGCGCGUAGGCGGCCACCGCAAGUCAGUUGUGAAAUCUCUGGGCUUAACCCAGAACGGUCAGCUGAUACUGCGGGGCUAGAGUGCAGAAGGGGCAACUGGAAUUCUCGGUGUAGCGGUGAAAUGCGUAGAUAUCGAGAGGAACACCUGCGGCGAAGGCGGGUUGCUGGGCUGACACUGACGCUGACAGCGCGAAAGCUAGGGGAGCGAACGGG
rnacentral:rRNA from 1 species